CCCCCUGGGCUUACCUCUAGUAACGGCGAGUGAAGCGGUAAAAGCUCAAAUUUGAAAUCUGGUACUUUCAGUGCCCGAGUUGUAAUUUGUAGAAUUUGUCUUUGAUUAGGUCCUUGUCUAUGUUCCUUGGAACAGGACGUCAUAGAGGGUGAGAAUCCCGUUUGGCGAGGAUACCUUUUCUCUGUAAGACUUUUUCGAAGAGUCGAGUUGUUUGGGAAUGCAGCUCAAAGUGGGUGGUAAAUUCCAUCUAAAGCUAAAUAUUGGCGAGAGACCGAUAGCGAACAAGUACAGUGAUGGAAAGAUGAAAAGAACUUUGAAAAGAGAGUGAAAAAGUACGUGAAAUUGUUGAAAGGGAAGGGCAUUUGAUCAGACAUGGUGUUUUUUGCAUGCACUCGCCUCUCGUGGGCUUGGGCCUCUCAAAAAUUUCACUGGGCCAACAUCAAUUCUGGCAGCAGGAUAAAUCAUUAAGAAUGUAGCUACUUCGGUAGUGUUAUAGCUUUUUGGAAUACUGUUAGCCGGGAUUGAGGACUGCGCUUCGGCAAGGAUGUUGGCAUAAUGGUUAAAUGCCGCCCGUCUUGAAACACGGGACCA
rnacentral:rRNA from 1 species